AUUGAACGCUGGCGGAAUGCUUUACACAUGCAAGUCGAACGGUAGAGGGGCAACCCUUGAGAGUGGCGAACGGGCGAGUAAUGUAUCGGAACAUGCCCAGUCGGGGGGGGUAACUUAACGAAAGUUACGCGAAUACCGCAUACGAACUAUGGAUGAAAGCGGGGGAGCGCAAGACCUCGCGCGAAUGGAGUGGUCGAUAUCAGAGUAGGUAGUUGGUGGGGUAACGGCCUACCAAGCCGACGAUCUGUAGCUGGUCUGAGAGGACGACCAGCCACACUGGGACUGAGACACGGCCCAGACUCCUACGGGAGGCAGCAGUGGGGAAUUUUGGACAAUGGGCGAAAGCCUGAUCCAGCCAUUCCGCGUGCAGGAAGAAGGCCUUCGGGUUGUAAACUGCUUUUGUACGGAACGAAACGCGCUGUGCUAAUACCACGGCGUAAUGACGGUACCGUAAGAAUAAGCACCGGCUAACUACGUGCCAGCAGCCGCCGUAACAC
rnacentral:rRNA from 1 species